AUUCACUAGAUCAGCUUACACACUAAGGGCUAGGUAACCCAACAGUGGCUGUCUGCACCCCAGAGAGUCUGAGAACGCAAAAGCUACUCAUUCUGCAAAGCCAGGCGCCUCAUCAGCCCCACUCUGAUUCAGAAAACAGGAAGCAUCUCUUUCCAGAGAGCAGCUGGUCUUCGGUUCUUGCCCGCAGGCAUCAGUGGAAGGUGGAGAGGGCAACAAUAGACACUGAUGCACUUCCCUGGAUGAAGUGAAGUGGGGAAGGCCACAUUGCUUUUCCCUCAGCCCCUUUUACGUCUGGGACAUCCAUGGAAGGUUCUCCAGCUCCAAGAGAGGGUCUCUUCUCCUCAGUUCAUCCUUCUCGGAGAUCCUCACACAGCCUGCCCAGAGUUAUUUCUCUUACUUGCUUCCAGAUCUCCUCAGUCGGUGUUCAAGGUUGAGCAAGAACAGCGCAAAGCUGAGCUGUGAGAGCUGCCGGUGAUGUUUGUGGCUACGAUGCUAUCUUACUUCACAAAGAUCCGAGGCAAAGGGCUAAGGAUGUAAAUAAAGACAAUGACAGCGGCUCAUUCUUACAAGGAGAAUGGUGUUUAUUAUUACAAGGAUGGAGCCUUAAAUACCAAAGGCAGGUACCUCCUGGGAUCAAGCCCUGGCUUGAUACUGCUGCUGGAUGUCUCAUCCGUAAGACGAGGAGGAUAGUGAUGAUCAUACACACAUCACAGGACUGCUGUGACGACUCAGCGAGAUAAUCUGUGCUCACGGGUUGCCUUGAAUCUUGGGGGAGACUUUGCUCUGUAGACUUUUUGAACAACGUGAACAGUAUUAAGAAGGUAGACAGAAUGCAGUUUGCACUAUCAGAUGGUCAUAAUCCCUUGGUGGCCAGGUGGUGGGAACUUAGGAGUUGGAGUCCAGCUGACAGAGAUGGGUCACAGGCUGUGAACCUUUGAAGAUGAUGCUCACACCUGGUUUUGUUCCCUCAUCCUCUGCCUCCCACUGCAUGGUGUGUAUACAUUCCACCAUACUCGACCUCUGUCAUGUGUGGAUCACCCUGCUGUCUUGCCUUCUCUGCCAUGAUGAACUGUGACUGUCUAAAACCCUGAGAUUUCAAAGCUGGUGGAGCAAGCAGCUGUAAUGAGGCUCUGCCUCGUCACGUGCUGAAAGGGAGUUGACGUCGAUGGAAACACAUUUCCUUGUCUGCCACGCCUGACUAUGGCAUUCCAUUCUUCCCUUUACCAUGUGUAUAUAGAAUGUUCGUUUUAUUCCAGACUGUUGCCAUGUGUCUGUAGAAUAUCAAUUUCAUUCCAGACUGUUACCACGUAUCAAUAGAAUGUUCGUUUUGUCCCAAUUGUUAUCACAUUCUAUAGAUGUUCAUUUUGUCCCAAAUUGUUACCACAUUCUAUAGAAUGUUCAUUUUGUCU